GAUGAACGCUGGCGGCGUGCUUAACACAUGCAAGUCGAGCGAAGCAGUUGAAAAGAUUCUUCGGAUGAUUGUCAACUGACUGAGCGGCGGACGGGUGAGUAACGCGUGGGUGACCUGCCCCAUACCGGGGGAUAACAGCUGGAAACGGCUGCUAAUACCGCAUAAGCGCACAGAGCUGCAUGGCUCGGUGUGAAAAACUCCGGUGGUAUGGGAUGGGCCCGCGUCUGAUUAGGCAGUUGGCGGGGUAACGGCCCUCCAAACCGACGAUCAGUAGCCGGCCUGAGAGGGCGACCGGCCACAUUGGGACUGAGACACGGCCCAAACUCCUACGGGAGGCAGCAGUGGGGAAUAUUGCACAAUGGGGGAAACCCUGAUGCAGCGACGCCGCGUGAGCGAAGAAGUAUUUCGGUAUGUAAAGCUCUAUCAGCAGGGAAGAUAAUGACGGUACCUGACUAAGAAGCCCCGGCUAACUACGUGCCAGCAGCCGCGGUAA
rnacentral:rRNA from 1 species